rnacentral:miRNA from 1 species
AAGGUUUUUGAGCCGUAAAUCA